GCACCACAAGAACGCGUGGAGCAUGUGGCUUAAUUUGACUCAACGCGGGAAAUCUUACCGGGUCCGGACACACUGAGGAUUGACAGGCAAUAUCUAAAUCGUUUAUAAUUCUAUUAUAAUACGCUAUUUAGUGUUAAAUAUGCUAGUCCUUUCAUGAUUAUGUGAUAGGUGGUGCAUGGCCGUUCUUAGUUCGUGGAGUGAUCUGUCUGCUUAAUUGCGUUUCACUAAGGGCCCAUAAAUUCAAGGUAUGUUAGCUAUCGUUUCUCAAUUGACCCCUUAUUUCUAAUAAGCGCGUGUCUUUUAGAGUUUAAACAUUGCGCAUGCUGUUGGGCCUGAAAGCAACGAACGUGACCGCAACGUCUUAUUGCCUUUAUCUUGUUAUAU
rnacentral:rRNA from 1 species